GACGAACGCUGGCGGCGUGCCUAACACAUGCAAGUCGAGCGGGGACUUGGGUGCUUGCACCUGGGUUCUAGCGGCGGACGGGUGAGUAACGCGUGAGCAACCUGCCUCAAACUGGGGGAUAACGCAUCGAAAGAUGUGCUAAUACCGCGUAAGACCACGCUACCACAUGGUAGAGGGGUCAAAGGAGCAAUCCGGUUUGAGAUGGGCUCGCGUCCGAUUAGCUAGUUGGCGGGAUAACAGCCCACCAAGGCGACGAUCGGUAGCCGACCUGAGAGGGUGAUCGGCCACAUUGGAACUGAGAUACGGUCCAGACUCCUACGGGAGGCAGCAGUGGGGAAUAUUGGGCAAUGGGCGAAAGCCUGACCCAGCAACGCCGCGUGAGGGAAGAAGGGUUUCGGCUCGGUAAACCUCUGUCCUAUGGGACGAAGGAAGUGACGGUACCAUAGGAGGAAGCCCCGGCUAACUACGUG
rnacentral:rRNA from 1 species